rnacentral:rRNA from 1 species
GAUGAACGCUGGCGGCGUGCCUAAUACAUGCAAGUCGAACGCUGAAGGAGGAGCUUGCUCUUCUGGAUGAGUUGCGAACGGGUGAGUAACGCGUAGGUAACCUGCCUGGUAGCGGGGGAUAACUAUUGGAAACGAUAGCUAAUACCGCAUGACAACAGUUAUUGCAUGAUAACUGUUUAAAAGGGGCAACUGCUCCACUACCAGAUGGACCUGCGUUGUAUUAGCUAGUUGGUGAGGUAACGGCUCACCAAGGCGACGAUACAUAGCCGACCUGAGAGGGUGAUCGGCCACACUGGGACUGAGACACGGCCCAGACUCCUACGGGAGGCAGCAGUAGGGAAUCUUCGGCAAUGGACGGAAGUCUGACCGAGCAACGCCGCGUGAGUGAAGAAGGUUGUCGGAUCGUAAAGCUCUGUUGUAAGAGAAGAACGAGUGUGAGAGUGGAAAGUUCACACUGUGACGGUAUCUGACCAGAAAGGGACGGCUAACUACGUG